rnacentral:rRNA from 1 species
UACAGAGGUCGCGAGCGUUAGGCGGAAUCACUGGGCUUAAAGCGUGUGUAGGCGGAUCGGUAAGUACGUUGUGAAAUCCCACAGCUUAACUGUGGAACUGCUUGGUAUACUGCCAGUCUUGAGCCACUUAGGGGCUACCGGAACAAAUGGUGGAGCGGUGAAAUGCGUAGAUAUCAUUUGGAACGCCAAUGGUGAAAACAGGUAGCUGGGAGUGUGCUGACGCUGAGACACGAAAGCCAGGGGAGCAAACGGG